UUCCAGACAUUUUUGCAGUUUUUUAUAUUGCAAUGUUUUACCAUUAUAUAUAUAUAUAUAUAUCCAAACGAAAGAAUGACAUUUCACAGCUUUCCUGUGACGAAUGAAGAACUCGCAACAAAAUGGAUG